rnacentral:rRNA from 2 species
CAACAGGGAUUGCCCUAGUAACGGCGAGUGAAGCGGCAACAGCUCAAAUUUGAAAUCUGGCUCUCGGGCCCGAGUUGUAAUUUGUAGAGGAUACUUUUGAUGCGGUGCCUUCCGAGUUCCCUGGAACGGGACGCCAUAGAGGGUGAGAGCCCCGUCUGGUUGGAUGCCAAAUCUCUGUAAAGUUCCUUCGACGAGUCGAGUAGUUUGGGAAUGCUGCUCUAAAUGGGAGGUAUAUGUCUUCUAAAGCUAAAUACCGGCCAGAGACCGAUAGCGCACAAGUAGAGUGAUCGAAAGAUGAAAAGCACUUUGAAAAGAGAGUUAAAAAGUACGUGAAAUUGUUGAAAGGGAAGCGUUUAUGACCAGACUUGGGCUUGGUUAAUCAUCUGGGGUUCUCCCCAGUGCACUUUUCCAGUCCAGGCCAGCAUCAGUUUUCGCCGGGGGAUAAAGACUUCGGGAAUGUGGCUCUCUUCGGGGAGUGUUAU